AAAAGUUUCCUGGGAAGUCCGGCUGCCUUAGCGCCCGCAGUCAGUUCCAUCCAACAUGGCAGUGUCAGGACGAGUCCAUUCUUGUGGAAUGGGGGUUACGGCUUCCUACGGCUGCGUCCCACGCACUUCAAAAUAAACCAGUGUGGUACGGUCCCGUCCGCCCCUGGCUUUUAUAACAGGAAUGUGUGCAGUUCAGAUUGGGAGGAGGAAUAAUAUUCUGAAUUGAAUCAUCACGAGCGAGAAAGACAGAAGGGAGAACAAGAGAGACAACAGCAGAUAACGAGAGCGAGAGGGAGGAGUGUUCACCAUAUCUGCCUCCGACUAUCCUUCUAAUCUUAAAACAGCCCUCAGAAAUCUGCUGGAUCAAAAGCCCAACUCAACCAUCAUCCAUCUGCCAGCCAGGGUGUGUCUGACAAUAGGCUGCUUCAAAUGGGUCAACUCAAAUGACCUCUUUUGACUGCGGACUCUCAAUAAAAUGGUAUGUAAUUUUUUUUUUUAUAACUCGUAGUGGUUGUCCUAAAGGAGUACUCUCGUUUUAGUUUCCAGGGACCUCCACUCACUGUCCUAAUAAAACAUAACCAAAA